UACAGAGGGCUCAAGCGUUAAUCGGAAUCACUGGGCUUAAAGGGUCCGCAGGCGGAUCGGUAAGUAUCUUGUGAAAUACCAUGGCUCAACCAUGGAAUUGCUCGGUAAACUGCCAAUCUUGAACAUAGUAGGGGCCAUCGGAACUCUAGGUGGAGCGGUGAAAUGCGUAGAUAUCUAGAGGAACGCCAAAGGCGAAGGCA
rnacentral:rRNA from 1 species